rnacentral:rRNA from 1 species
CCCUUAGAUGUUCUGGGCCGCACGCGCGCUACACUGAUGGGUUCAUCGAGCAUACAACCUUGACUGACAAGUUUGGGUAAUCUUUGCAAAGCCCAUCGUGAUGGGGAUAGAUUAUUGUAAUUAUUAAUCUUCAACGAGGAAUUCCUAGUAAACGCGAGUCAUCAACUCGCAUUGAUUACGUCCCUGCCCUUUGUACACACCGCUCGUCGCUACUACCGAUUGAAUGGUUUAGUGAGUUUUGGGGAUGAGGUGAUCGUAGGGUUUCCCUGCUUUUGCUACAGAACCAACACAAACUUGAUCAUUUAGAGGAAGUAAAAGUCGUAACA